rnacentral:pre_miRNA from 1 species
UGCAUAGGGCAGUUAAGGGUUUGAAACUCCAUACAUGUAAAUGCGCUUCUGCAUGGAGUUUCAAACUCUUGAACUGCUCUGUGUA